UCUCAUCCAGGACAGUGGGCAGGAGCAGA
rnacentral:piRNA from 1 species